CCAGAACCCUAACGAUGAUACUGGCUGUGCCUGAGCGUGCAGGGACCCCGCCAUCUACAGCGACUGUAGAUUCCUUAAAAACGAUUGCCUAAAGUUACAGUUUGGGGCACUGCACAGUUGGGUGACCAGGGCCAUCUUGGACUGCCUUGUGAGGGAAAUCAGGCGUGUGUGAAGGCAACCUGUGUCCUGCAUAACACAUGAGGACCAGGAGGGGAUCUGCAGCUUGCCGCCAUGUGCGAGAGGAGAGGUCUGCUGCUCUGCGUGAUGUUUCAAGGAUGGGGUCUAACAAUGAGGCAAUCCGCACGGGAGGCAAUCCGUGUGCAGGAAAUAUUCACCUGCUACUUUUUCAAAUAGGGUGCUGUUUCCUGGCAACACCAUAGACUACACUAUGCACAACCAACAACCAAAGGCUCUUUUAAGAGCCAUCCAUAUUGCAAUAAGAGUAUUCUUUCAUUUACUUAGCUAUGUCAACUGCAGUUAUUCAAUUCCCAGUUUAUCUCCCAUUGAUUUCUACUUCUCAGGUGAGGGUGCUGUUUAGGUAAGGGUGAUGUCUGUACAAAAACAAAACAGGCUAUUUUAAGAGUCACCCAUAUUGAAAAGAUUUAGAACAAUUAGACACCCUAUAACCCACACCUAUGCAUUCGUGUAUCAAUCUGAUGGAUUGUGUUGUGCAAUAAGCAGGCUCAGUUGUAUAACUGUGGCUCCUUCCACCUUCAAAUAAUAGUUAAGAGGACCAACCAUGGAGAAUAGUUAGACACUUCAUUAUGUCUAUUUAUAUAACUAUGCCAUAUUGUUUGCCUCGCAUGUCUGUGCAUGUUUUUCAGUAUAAUGUACCCUGCAGCCACUGAUUGUGGACAUUAGGUUAUAUCAGCUGUGUCGGUGAACCCCUCCUGCAUCUGAACUGCAUGACACAUAGAGGGCACAGCAUGAUCAGAGAUAUGUUUUGAUGUGAGAGAGGAUGCCAACCCCCAGUCUCGUCAUCGCCACCUCACCCGCUCUUAAAAUAACCUUCAGGCCAACUGGGGGCCCAAGGCUGGUUAGGAGACACCGCUAGAGACACUGUUAUGUAAUUGUGAUGACCUGAGAGAAUUGUAGCACUGAAUUGUAGCACUGUAAUUAAUUAAUCAUAUGCUGUCUUACCUGCUCCUCUGUUCUUACCUCUUUCUCUUUCUGUCUUUGACACUCUUUCUCGCACCUCUCUCCCCAGUUUUACAGCACUCUAGCCGAAGCUUGACAUUGCACAUGGUGAUCUUAGGCUUGUGUGCGGCUGCUCGGCCAUGGAAAUCCAUUUCAUAAAGCACCCAUUGAACAGCUCUUGUGCUGAUGUUUCUUCCAGAGGCCGUUUGGAACUCGGUAGUGAGUGUUGCAACCGAGGACAGACGAUUUUUACGUGCUACGCGGUUCAGCGGUCUAAUUCUGUGAGCAAGUGUGGCCUACCACUUCGCAGCUGAGCCGUUGUUGCUCCUAGAAGUUUCCACUUCACAAUAACAGCACUUACAGUUGACUGGGAUAGCUCUAGCAGGGCAGAAAUUUGACGAACUGACUUGUUGGAAAGGUGGAUCUAAUGACAGAGCCACGUUUAAAGUUACUGAGCUCUUCAGUAUGGGCCAUUCUACUGCCAAUGUUAGUCUAUGGAGAUUGCAUGGUUGUGUGAUCGAUUUUAUACACUUUUCAGCAAUGGGUGUGGCUGAAAUAGCCGAAUCUACUCAUUUGGCCAUGUAUUGUAGAUGGGGCCACUUUUCUUCAAAGCAAUGCUCCCAUGACUUGUUCAAAGGCAAAACAAUAUUCAGAAAAUAAAUCAAAACAUGGCCAUAUAAUAAAAUAAAGAUCUGAGAUCGAAGGUCUGAGAUUGAGUUCCUCAUUAAGCCCCCCAACUAAAAUAAUUGGAUGUAGGAUUAUAUUUCCUAUUUAUUUUAUUUUCAGAACCCUUGCAGAAUAAAUUCCUCACCUUUUCUGGCCAUGAUGGGUUCAUAUUCCCAUAGUAACCGUACAACAAAUUAGCAUGCGUCUCUCAUUUAAUUGAGCCUAUGUAAAUAGAUAGGCUAUAUAUUUCUAGUUUUCUGUAUGUGAUCGCAUAGUCAAUGCGGUUUAGCCAACAGACUAAUUUAACAGGUGAACAGUUGACAGUUGAUAUUUUACUUUGAAGUAUGUCUGCUAUUACUGCAUACCCAGCCGUCACCAUGUCUUGAGACAUUUUGAGAAAUGUCUUGAGACAUAAAAAUGAAGACAUCUAUAGACAUAUCUUGGAAAUACCAAUGUCUUGAGACAUUAAGGCAUCUUGAGACAUUUUAUAAUUUGUUGUUUUCAUGUUUUACUAGUAAUGAAUACUAAUCAUUCACUCUCUCAUGCACAUUCAUAGCAAAAAUUGUGCUGCUUACCCAAUCACAGUAAUCAAGAUUUAUCCACCAAAUUAUCUUGUCUGGAUAAUAGAUCAUCUUUGGUAUGGCCUCUAUGGCAUGCACCAAGUUUAUAAAUUCAUUUUUUAAAAGAUUUUUAAGACACUUAUUGUUUUUAGAAAUGGAGCAUGCAGAUAUUUAUUGUAAGAUUUAGGCUACGUUUUUAAAAGAUGCACCAGAAAUGUGAUUAUAAAUCUUGAUGUCGAUAUCAAGCCACAGUUAUUUCCUCUGUCUGUAUGACAAUAACGGAUAUUCUAAAAGGAACAGCGACUAUCAUUUGUUUUUCAACUAGACAAUGACCCCACACACCUCCAGGCUGUGUAAGGGCUGUUUGACCAAGAAGGAGAGUGAUGGAGUGCUG